rnacentral:lncRNA from 1 species
AGUAAAUAACAAGUAACAACACUAAAGCCAGACUACACCAGCUUUUCACGACCGUAGAGGAAGACAAACAGGGAGUAGUUGGUUGUUGUUAGCUAGCUACUGUGUUGGACAAUCCCGAAUGAAGUCAUCUUCCUUCCUUCGUCGUCCUGUAUUUCAUAGCCCUUCUACUGGCAACAUCUGCCACUGGUCCAUGACUAACUUCCAGUGCCCCCGGUCCAAACUGGCUGUUUCUCUGUGCUCUCUGUCUGCCUUAUUUGUGAAUUAACGUCCUACUUUCCUCCCUGCGUUGGCCCCCUGCUGAGUGGUUUGAUUGAUGGUCCAACAGCCUCAGUGUUUCUCCAGCUGCCUUUAGUCUUAGCAAAGCUGGAUAUAGUCAUCAGCUCCAAGAUGCUCUACACCUGAUCUGUCUGAGUGGGCACGCGAAGAGAGUGACCCUGUAUCCGUAGCGUGUUUGGGUGGAUCCAUCUGAGGGGCACGGUGGAUGAGAUAUGGUACUCUUUGUACCCAAUGACAGGAUGGGUGUGAUGCAGUCCGACUUACUAGAUGUAACAUAAUAUAGUGUGAUAGAUAGACCACAACCACACCCUAUGUGGAGAAGCUGAGCUGAAGUUUACCACAAAUAAAUGUGUCAGAAAGAUGGGUGUAAAGAUUACAAACAUGAUUUAGAUCUAUAAACAGGAACAAUACCAGUGAAAACACCCACCUGCCUGCUCUUAAUGUCAUAAAAGCAAGCUAAAGAUCCAUUUCAGCCAUACCCAUCAAAUAAAUUGUCAAACAAUAACAUCUUUCGUAGAAGCUCAGUCGACUGCAGACUGCCUUAAAAUGUGUCAUAAAAUGGCUUGACGGUGAGCAAACAAAUCACUAUAAAUUACAGUAUAACACUUUAUGUGAAAUGUUAAACAUUUGCACAUUGACUUUGCUCCUACACGCACAAUCACAGCUGAAGCCCAACUAAUGAGGCCAACAGAUACAGUAGCAAAAAAAAAAAGCCUAACAAAAUUCUUAUAUUCUCAGCUGGACAUUCAAAUAUGACCCCGUGACUCACAAAGCUCUAGCAGGCUCUAGACAGCACCCAUAAAACCAGGCUGCGCUGAGCCCUGAAGGACUGCAGUUGUUAGCCACUGACCUGACCUACAAUAUUGACUCCUAGACUCUAUAUAUAGCCCUGACUGGCAGCUUCCUGAGGCUUGUGGUGCAUCAAGGCCCUGAUGACUGCCUUUGCAACUUCAAAGCAGCAGAGCCUACCAUCACCUCAGUGCUAUCCUGAGAUCCUUCUCAAUCGAAUUACUGUACGUCUUAAUAAUGGUCAGAGAGGCAGAUCGCAAUAAAUCUACUUCAAUACAGAAACAGACCUAUUUUAUGCAGCCAUUUCCCUGUGUGCCAAUUUUCU